AGAACGAACGCUGGCGGCAGGCCUCAAACAUGCAAGUCUAGGGGGUGUAGCAAUACAUCACCGGCGGACGGGUGCGUAACGCGUGGGAAUGUACCUAUUGGUUCGGAACAACUGAGGGAAACUUCAGCUAAUACCGGAUGAGCCCGAAAGGGGAAGAUUUCUCGCCAAUAGAUCAGCCCGCGUCCGAUUAGCUAGUUGGUGGGGUUAAAGCCUACCAAGGCGACGAUCGGUAGCUGUUCUGAGAGGAAGAUCAGCCACACUGGGACUGAGACACGGCCCAGACUCCUACGGGAGGCAGCAGUUGGGAAUCUUGGACAAUGGGGGAAACCCUGAUCCAGCCAUGCCGCGUGAGUGAUGAAGGCCUUCGGGUUGUAAAACUCUUUCGACGGGGACGAUAAUGACGGUACCCGUAGAAGAAGCUCCGGCUAACUUCGUGCCAGCAGCCGC
rnacentral:rRNA from 1 species